rnacentral:rRNA from 1 species
UGGGGAAUAUUGCACAAUGGGGGAAACCCUGAUGCAGCAACGCCGCGUGAGUGAUGACGGCCUUCGGGUUGUAAAGCUCUGUCUUCAGGGACGAUAAUGACGGUACCUGAGGAGGAAGCCACGGCUAACUACGUGCCAGCAGCCGCGGUAAUACGUAGGUGGCAAGCGUUGUCCGGAUUUACUGGGCGUAAAGGGAGCGUAGGCGGACUUUUAAGUGAGAUGUGAAAUACCCGGGCUCAACCUGGGUGCUGCAUUUCAAACUGGAAG